UGACGAGUGGCGGACGGGUGAGUAAUGUCUGGGAAACUGCCUGAUGGAGGGGGAUAACUACUGGAAACGGUAGCUAAUACCGCAUAACGUCGCAAGACCAAAGAGGGGGACCUUCGGGCCUCUUGCCAUCAGAUGUGCCCAGAUGGGAUUAGCUAGUAGGUGGGGUAACGGCUCACCUAGGCGACGAUCCCUAGCUGGUCUGAGAGGAUGACCAGCCACACUGGAACUGAGACACGGUCCAGACUCCUACGGGAGGCAGCAGUGGGGAAUAUUGCACAAUGGGCGCAAGCCUGAUGCAGCCAUGCCGCGUGUAUGAAGAAGGCCUUCGGGUUGUAAAGUACUUUCAGCGGGGAGGAAGGUGUUGUGGUUAAUAACCACAGCAAUUGACGUUACCCGCAGAAGAAGCACCGGCUAACUCCGUGCCAGCAGCCGCGGUAAUACGGAGGGUGCAAGCGUUAAUCGGAAUUACUGGGCGUAAAGCGCACGCAGGCGGUCUGUCAAGUCGGAUGUGAAAUCCCCGGGCUCAACCUGGGAACUGCAUUCGAAACUGGCAGGCUAGAGUCUUGUAGAGGGGGGUAGAAUUCCAGGUGUAGCGGUGAAAUGCGUAGAGAUCUGGAGGAAUACCGGUGGCGAAGGCGGCCCCCUGGACAAAGACUGACGCUCAGGUGCGAAAGCGUGGGGAGCAAACAGGAUUAGAUACCCUGGUAGUCCACGCCGUAAACGAUGUCGACUUGGAGGUUGUGCCCUUGAGGCGUGGCUUCCGGAGCUAACGCGUUAAGUCGACCGCCUGGGGAGUACGGCCGCAAGGUUAAAACUCAAAUGAAUUGACGGGGGCCCGCACAAGCGGUGGAGCAUGUGGUUUAAUUCGAUGCAACGCGAAGAACCUUACCUACUCUUGACAUCCAGAGAACUUUCCAGAGAUGGAUUGGUGCCUUCGGGAACUCUGAGACAGGUGCUGCAUGGCUGUCGUCAGCUCGUGUUGUGAAAUGUUGGGUUAAGUCCCGCAACGAGCGCAACCCUUAUCCUUUGUUGCCAGCGGUCCGGCCGGGAACUCAAAGGAGACUGCCAGUGAUAAACUGGAGGAAGGUGGGGAUGACGUCAAGUCAUCAUGGCCCUUACGAGUAGGGCUACACACGUGCUACAAUGGCGCAUACAAAGAGAAGCGACCUCGCGAGAGCAAGCGGACCUCAUAAAGUGCGUCGUAGUCCGGAUUGGAGUCUGCAACUCGACUCCAUGAAGUCGGAAUCGCUAGUAAUCGUAGAUCAGAAUGCUACGGUGAAUACGUUCCCGGGCCUUGUACACACCGCCCGUCACACCAUGGGAGUGGGUUGCAAAAGAAGUAGGUAGCUUAACCUUCGGGAGGGCGCUUACCACUUUGUGAUUCAUGACUGGGGUGAAGUCGUAACAAGGUAACCGUAGGGGAACCUGCGGUUGGAUCACCU
rnacentral:rRNA from 1 species